AGAGUUUGAUCAUGGCUCAGGAUGAACGCUAGCGGCAGGCCUAACACAUGCAAGUCGAGGGGUAGAACACUUCGGUGUUUGAGACCGGCGCACGGGUGCGUAACGCGUAUGCAAUCUACCUUAUACAGGGGAAUAGCCCAGAGAAAUUUGGAUUAAUGCCCCAUAGUGUUAUCGAAUCGCAUGGUUUGAUAACUAAAGUUCCAACGGUAUAAGAUGAGCAUGCGUCCCAUUAGUUAGUUGGUAAGGUAACGGCUUACCAAGACGAUGAUGGGUAGGGGUCCUGAGAGGGAGAUCCCCCACACUGGUACUGAGACACGGACCAGACUCCUACGGGAGGCAGCAGUGAGGAAUAUUGGUCAAUGGGCGCAAGCCUGAACCAGCCAUGCCGCGUGCAGGAAGAAGCAUCUAUGGUGUGUAAACUGCUUUUAUACAGGAAGAAACACCCCUACGUGUGGGGGCUUGACGGUACUGUAGGAAUAAGGAUCGGCUAACUCGUGCCAGCAGCCGCGGUAAUAC
rnacentral:rRNA from 1 species